CUUUCUUUCUCUAUUGCUCCUCCACUUUUUUUAUUAUAUUGACGACAUAAAAUAAAAUUUUUGAAUCCGCCACUGAAAUAAUGCAUGACGUUAUCAAUAAAAAGAUACCAACUCAACAAUUUAUCCAUAUAAAUUAUAACCCUCUUUCUUAACUAUAGUUAAAUUUGUACGGAGAAAAUAAACUAUCUAGCUCAGGAAUUCGAUUCCCUCUGGC
rnacentral:lncRNA from 1 species